AGCAGAUCAACCAGCAAUCUCGAGAUCUCUUUCUCUGCCUGACCAAACAGAAGAAAGAAUGGCAAAAAAAGACACAGAAAGGACACCACUUCAACUUCGAAGCAAGAAAAAUAAGAGAUGUUGGAGGCUCAGAUGAGAGUUUCGUAUCUUAUCAGGCAACAGAACGAACGAAAGAGCGGAACCCCGCCAUGGCUGCGACACGCCCCCGGGAUCGCCACGCCAAGAUACGGACAGUUCUCCAAGAAAACCGAAAGCCUGACUACCCCAUAACUCAUUCCUCAUCGCCUCAUCAUUAUCACUUUACCUUUCUGCCAUCG
rnacentral:lncRNA from 1 species